GUCUGUCUGUUUUUUAUAGAAAGUCUAGUCUGCCCACUGAUAAUUUAAAGGGCCGCGGUAAUUUGACUGUGCAAAGGUAGCAUAAUCAUUAGCUUUUUAAUUGGAAGCUGGAAUGAACGGCUAGAUGAGAAAUGAACUGUCUUUUUUUACUAUAUAGAAAUUAACUUUUAAGUGAAAAGGCUUAAAUUUUUUGGGGGGACGAUAAGACCCUGUAAAACUUGAUAUUUAUUUUAUUAAAAUUUAGGUUUAAAGUUUGAAAUUUUUUGUUAAUGUAAAUAUUUUGUUGGGGAGACGAAGAUAUAAUUUUUAACUGUCUAUUUAAACUGUAUACUUCUUUGUAUUCUAAUGAUCCUUUAAUAGAGAUUAUAAGAUUAAGUUACUUCAGGGAUAACAGCGUAAUUUUCUUUGAGAGUUCCUAUCGACAAGAAUAGUUGCGACCUCGAUGUUGAAUUAAGAUUUCAGAAAAGUGAAGCCGCUUUUCUAGUAGGUCUGUUCGACCUUUAAUAAUCUU
rnacentral:rRNA from 1 species